GUGGGAAAAGGGAAGUUUGGCAAUCAGCCUCUCUCUUUCUCUUGUAGACGAAGUUUUGCUAUAGACCGUCUCUUUUUCAGACUUCCCGCUCCAGCUUCUCACUCUUCUCACUACUCUGCGAAUCACUCUGCUCCACUCCGGUCAAAUAUUCUUGGCGCCAUCGCGACAACCGUUCUUGCUGCAAAUCUCCUUCCCGUCAAAGUCGCUCACCGGCGUCUCCGUCUCUAUUGAACUACAAUGAAGGGAAAAAGAGAAGGAAGUGUGGAGUCAGGAUUCAGGAGAAGAAUUCAUCGGAGAAAAAUGAGGGAAAGACAACAUUUACAUUGGUUGCUUUAGAUUUUCAUUGAAAGCUUUGAAUUUUGAACAAUAUAUUCUUUUAAACAUUC